AGAUGUUGGGGGUCAUGUGGUACAGGGGUGCCCAACCCCCAGUCCGUGGACCAGCACUGGUCUAUAGUAUGCCAGAAACUGCGCUGUGCAAACAAGCAAAGCCCCGUCGAUGGGAUGCAGGCAGUAC